rnacentral:lncRNA from 1 species
AGGUUUGCUAGAUCUAUACUGUUUUAUUUGGCAAAGUAGCCUGGCUGUUCUCUGCGCCUCUUCUGCAAAGCAUCAAGAUUCACCUCCACUGACUACAGCAUGAAUUGGGCCCAGAUGGCUGCAGGACAGAGGCUGGAGUGGAUGGUAGCAGUGAGUGAUUCAAGUGAAAGUUCUCAGUGAUGCCCUGCGUCAGUACAAAGAAGAUUCACAAUUCCUAGGGACAAGACUUGCCAGCACAGUCUCCCUUAAAAUGAUCUGCCUGAGAGCCGAGGAGUAGGUAGUGUAUUACUGUGAGAGACACAGUGAGGGGACAUCUGUGUGAGCCCAGACACAAACCUCCCUGCAGGGAGACAGGAGGGGACCU